UGAGCCACUUUCUUCCAACGCCGUCUCCUGCCACGAUGUUCCUGCUCGGAGCCAGCCAACCAUGAGCCAAAAUUAAGUCUUUUCCCUUUAAGUUGUUUGUGUUGGGCAUUUUGGUCGGAGUGACUGGAAGCUGGAGCAGUCACUGAGCUGGCUGAGUGUCAAGGGCCGGAUUGAGAUUGAGGCAAUCAGGACCCAGAUGUCAUCAUCAUAACAACCACGGUCGCGGGAAGGAGGCUCCGAGGAGGUGAUUGAUGAGUCCAAGGUCACAUAGCAAGUCGCCGGCUGUGCGGACAGGCAUCAAGGAGCAGGGGAGAAGUUCUUCAUGCUCCGAGGAGGCAGCCUGGAGGACACUGGAACUAGGUCUAGCAAUACAAAUCGGAUCUUGCCAGAAAGCAGGAAGAGCUUCCCAAGCGAGGUCGAAGCCCGGGUGUCAGCGGGGAGACCGCAAGUGGAGGGUCCAAGGCAGGAUCACAGAGGGGAUUGGGAAGAGCCCUGGGGGCGCGAGGUGGGCACCUGCAGUGAGGUCUGCAGGCUCCGCGCUCUUCUGCCUGGGAGUCCCACAGUACUCCUCAGACUCACUCCCAGAGUCCCACUUUCCUCAGUUUUAUGGAUGAGAAAGGAAAGGCCUGCUGGGAGUACCUACUUACUCGUGUGGCCCUGGGGGAGCUGUGGUGCUGGGCGCGUGUUCUGCCCCAGCGGCUGGCUCUGUGUAAUCCAGGGGCUCCUUCUAACCAGGAGAUCCCCAUCAGAGGCAAAGACAGGAGGGGGACAUUAUCCCCUAUUUGGCAUCCAGGUGCCACCUGGCUUCCCCAGCACCAGGAACCAGUGGCACCAGCCAGAAACCUAAUCCCUUCCUCCCGGAAGCCCACUCCUUGGUGGCAGUUUCUUCCACGAAUCCCCAGACCACACUCUUCCUCUUUGGAGGCUCUAAGACCCUGGCGGGGGGUGGGGUGGGUAGAGGCCGGCCUCCCCGUCCUGCCUCCCCUUCUGUG